GUCUUUUUGAUGAUAAUUUAAAGUCAAGCCUGCCCAGUGAUUAAUUUAACGGCCGCGGUAUCUUGACCGUGCAAAGGUAGCAUAAUCAUUAGUUUUUUAAUUGAAAGCUUGUAUGAAUGGUUAAAUGAGAAAAAUUCUGUCUCUAAAUUAUUUUAGUUGAAUUUUAUUUUUAAGUUAAAAAGCUUAAAUUUAAUUAAAAGACGAGAAGACCCUAUAGAGUUUGAUAUAAUUUUGGAUUAUUAAAAUUUGGAAAUUUUAAUUAAUAUUUUAAAUUGUAUUUGGUUGGGGUGAUAGUAAAAUUUAAUAAACUUUUAUUUAAUUAAUCCAUUAAUUUAUGAUUAUUUGAUCCAUUAUUUAUGAUUAAAAGAAAAAAUUACCUUAGGGAUAACAGCGUAAUUUUUUUUGAGAGUUCUAAUCGAUAGGAAAGAUUGCGACCUCGAUGUUGGAUUAAAAUUUAUUUUUGGUGUAGAAGCUAAAAUUAUUGGGUCUGUUCGACCUUUAAAAUUUUACAUGA
rnacentral:rRNA from 1 species